AAGCAUAUCAAUAAGCGGAGGAAAAGAAACCAACAGGGAUUGCCCUAGUAACGGCGAGUGAAGCGGCAACAGCUCAAAUUUGAAAUCUGGCCUCGGCCCGAGUUGUAAUUUGCAGAGGAUGCUUCUGGCGCGGUGCCUUCCGAGUUCCCUGGAACGGGACGCCAAAGAGGGUGAGAGCCCCGUAUGGUCGGACACCAAGCCUGUGUGAAGCUCCUUCGACGAGUCGAGUAGUUUGGGAAUGCUGCUCUAAAUGGGAGGUAAAUCUCUUCUAAAGCUAAAUACCGGCCAGAGACCGAUAGCGCACAAGUAGAGUGAUCGAAAGAUGAAAAGCACCUUGAAAAGGGGGUUAAAUAGUACGUGAAAUUGUUGAAAGGGAAGCACUUAUGACCAGACUUGGGCCGGGCGGCUCAUCAGGGGUUCUCCCCUGUGCACUCCGCCCGGCACAGGCCAGCAUCGGUUCUCGCGGGGGGAUAAGACCGUCAGGAACGUAGCACCCUCCGGGGUGUGUUAUAGCCUGGCGGACGAUACCCUCGCGGGGACCGAGGUCCGCGCUCCGCAAGGAUGCUGGCGUAAUGGUCAUCAGUGACCCGUCUUGAAACAC
rnacentral:rRNA from 1 species